rnacentral:misc_RNA from 1 species
UGCAGGCGGUAACCCUUCUGAGCUAAAGAAAGAUGCAGAGGUCUAGGGGAGAACUGGCUAGGGUGUGAUGAGUGCUUCCGUAAGCAACUCAUGCGAGCUCAACCACGUACCCUUGAGACAAGACCCGUCUGCCAUCGCACAAGGGCAACGCACCAUUGCGUGAGCCCUUGUUGUUUUGUCUAUCACUCUUGAGCUAUUACAAUUUGCGAUUGUU